rnacentral:tRNA from 1 species
GCCGAAGUGGCGGAACCGGCAGACGCGCACGACUCAAAAUCGUGUGGGGCAACCCGUGAGAGUUCGACUCUCUCCUUCGGCA